ensembl:snRNA U6 U6 spliceosomal RNA
GUGCUCCCUUCAGCAGCACAUUUACCAAAAUUGGAACAACACAGAGUUGAGCAUGACCCCUGUGCAAGGAUGACAUGCAAAUUCGUGAAGCGUUCCAUGAUUUU